UCGGCAAGUAAAGACUGUGCUUGUCAUUGCAGAUAGAUCUUAUCACUAGUGUGAAUAUUUUUGUGCUUUUAAUGAGCACACCAACAUGUCUGUCCAAUAUACAGUAAAUAAUAUUAUGCUCACCAGUACCAGUUAGUGCAUUUUGUGCAAGCAUGUAUAAUUUAAAAAAAUAAGUCAAACUCUCUCUCUUGGUCAUUCAGGAACUUCAAGUACUUUUAAGUACCUUGAAAAUGUGUUUGAGGCGGUUGUGGUGGCAGCCCGGCUGACGGUUCACUCACCCUUGUCCUCUGUCAAGUCAGCUGGGCUCGCUCACCUGCGCUCUCCCCUCGGGCCUCCCCCACAGCGUCCUCCCGGCUGUCCCUCGUGCCUCCCCAGUCAGCCUGCCACCACACUCCUCCACCAACCCCCUGAUCAGUUCUCCCGUGCCUCCUCUCUUCCUCGGCCCCCAGUGUCCCCCAGCUCUCUGGUCUCCGUGUCCUCAGUUCCCCGUGCCUGCGUUUCCCCGGCAUCCACCUCUCCCUUAACUCCAGUCCCUCAACCCCUUCUUUCCCCUAAUAAAACCUGUUAAUCUUAA